rnacentral:misc_RNA from 1 species
AAAGUCGUAACAAGGUCUCCGUUGGUGAACCAGCGGAGGGAUCAUUACAGGAACUCGCAAGAACUCCUAACCCACUGUGAACCUACCCGACGUUGCCUCGGCGGGCGCCCGGCCUCGCGCCGGGCACCAAGCCCGCCGGCGGCCCCCUACUCUGUCUCUGCAGCGUUGUGUCUCCGAGUAUACCAAAACAAGUCAAAACUUUCAACAACGGAUCUCUUGGCUCUA